UACGUAGGGCGCAAGCGUUGUCCGGAAUUAUUGGGCGUAAAGAGCUCGUAGGUGGCUUGUCGCGUCUGCCGUGAAAGCCCAUGGCUUAACUGUGGGUCUGCGGUGGAUACGGGCAGGCUGGAGGCUGGUAGGGGCAAGCGGAAUUCCUGGUGUAGCGGUGAAAUGCGCAGAUAUCAGGAGGAACACCGGUGGCGAAGGCGGCUUGCUGGGCCAGUUCUGACGCUGAUGCGCGAAAGCGUGGGUAGCAAACAGG
rnacentral:rRNA from 1 species